rnacentral:rRNA from 1 species
UUUCCGGUUGAUCCUGCCAGAGGUUACUGCUAUCGAGAUUCGAUUAAGCCAUGCGAGUUGAAUGUUCUUCGUGAACAUGGCGGACUGCUCAGUAACACGUGGACAACCUACCCUUGGAUCUGGGAUAAACCCGGGAAACUGGGCAUAAUACCGGAUAAGCCACAUAUGCUGGAAUGCUUUGUGGCUCAAAGCUCCGGCGUCCAAGGAUGGGUCUGCGGCCUAUCAGGGUAGUAGUGGGUGUAAUGUACCUACUAGCCUACGACGGGUACGGGUUGUGAGAGCAAGAGCCCGGAGAUGGAUUCUGAGACACGAAUCCAGGCCCUACGGGGUGCAGCAGGCGCGAAAACUUUACAAUGCGGGAAACCGCGAUAAGGGAAUCUCGAGUGCCAGUAUAUAAUGUUGGCUGUCCAGAUGCCUAAAAAGCAUUUGUUAGCAAGGGCCGGGCAAGACCGGUGCCAGCCGCCGCGGUAACACCGGCGGCCCGAGUGGUAACCGUUAUUAUUGGGUCUAAAGGGUCUGUAGCCGGCCGAAUAAGUCUCUUAGGAAACCUGGCAGCUUAACUGUCAGGCAGUCAGGGGAUACUGUUCGGCUUGGGACCGGGAGAGGUGAGAGGUACCUCGGGGGUAGGGGUGAAAUCUUGUGAUCCUCGAGGGACCACCAGUGGCGAAGGCGUCUCACCAGAACGGGUCCGACGGUAAGGGACGAAAGCUAGGGGCACGAACCGGAUUAGAUACCCGGGUAGUCCUAGCCGUAAACGAUGCUUGCUAGGUGUCAGCCACGGUGCGACCGUGGUUGGUGCCGUAGGGAAGCCGUGAAGCGAGCCACCUGGGAAGUACGGCCGCAAGGCUGAAACUUAAAGGAAUUGGCGGGGGAGCACUACAACGGGUGGAGCCUGCGGUUUAAUUGGAUUCAACGCCGGAA